AGAUGUUGUGCUCUGCACCUCAUGGUUGGGUGGCUUCCAGCAGCUUCCUGAACCUGAGCCUGCUCUGCCAUCUGUACAAUGGGCACAACAUCAGCCUCACAUGGCUGAGAUGAGGCCAUGGGACACAAAGAUGGGGUCUUACCAUGUCAUCCAGGCUGGUCUCAAACUCGUGGGCUCAAGCGAUCCUCUUGCCUCUGCCUCUCAAGUAGCUGGGAUUACAGGUGUGAGCCAUUGCACCCGCCCAUUGCCUGUCAUUUGCAUGCAGAUGCUAUUCUAACAUGAAACCUUUUACUCAAAUAUUUAUCUACAAUGGAGUCUCUCCGGAGUCAAGCCAUGUCUCCACCGUGGUGAGGCCAUCAAUUCAUUUAAAGUGGUUUCCCAGAGCAAAAGCUGCACCUAUGUGCAAGUGAUGCCCACACUGAGUGUGUAUGGACAGACUUCAGGUGUCUUCUAUCAGGUGGGUUCCUGCUCCAGGCCCACCUUGUCCAUGAGGCUAACAGGGGUGACCUUAGCAUGUG
rnacentral:lncRNA from 10 species